rnacentral:tRNA from 1 species
UGUAGCUCAGUGGAUAGAGCAACGGACUUCUAAUCCGUGGCAAGCCAUUUCCUAAGUUAUUGAAAUAAAAGAUAACUCCUACACUCUCUUAUAGUUGCAGAGAAAUUUAUUCUGCACCA